UACGUAGGGUGCGAGCGUUAAUCGGAAUUACUGGGCGUAAAGGGUGCGCAGGCGGCGUCGCAAGUCAGGCGUGAAAUCCCCCGGGCUUAACCUGGGAACUGCACUUGAAACUACGAUGCUGGAGUAUGGCAGAGGGAGGUGGAAUUCCACGUGUAGCGGUGAAAUGCGUAGAGAUGCGGAGGAACACCGAUGGCGAAGGCAGCCCCCCUGGGCUGACACUGACGCUCAGGCACGAAAGCGUGGGGAGCAAACAGG
rnacentral:rRNA from 1 species